AUUGCCUCAGUAACGGCGAGUGAAGCGGCAACAGCUCAAAUUUGAAAUCUGGCCUCUCGGGGUCCGAGUUGUAAUUUGUAGAGGAUGUUUCGGGUACCGCCUCGGUUUAAAUUUCUUGGAACAGAAUGUCAAAGAGGGUGAGAAUCCCGUCUUGGACCGGCGGUAGGGCCUAUGUGAAACUCCUUCGACGAGUCGAGUUGUUUGGGAAUGCAGCUCAAAAUGGGUGGUAAAUUUCAUCUAAAGCUAAAUAUUGGCCAGAGACCGAUAGCGCACAAGUAGAGUGAUCGAAAGAUGAAAAGCACUUUGAAAAGAGAGUUAAACAGUAUGUGAAAUUGUUGAAAGGGAAGCGCUUGCAACCAGACUUGAGCGCGGCGGUUCCCCCUUGCUUCUGCUUGGGUUACUCCGCCGUGUCCAGGCCAACAUCGGUUCUGGGGGUCGGUCAAAGGCCUUGGGAAUGUAUCUACCCACGGGUAGACUUAUAGACCAGGGUGUCAUGCGACCUCCCGGGACCGAGGAACGCGCUUCGGCUCGGAUGUUGGCGUAAUGGUUGUCAGCGACCCGUCUUGAAACACGGACCAAGGAGUCUAACAUCUAUGCGAGUGUUUGGGUGUCAAACCCGGAACGCGGAAUGAAAGUGAACGGAGGUAGGAAGCUUCGGCUGCACUAUCGACCGAUCCUGAAGUUUACGGAUGGAUUUGAGUAAGAGCAUAGCUGUUGGGACCCGAAAGAUGGUGAACUAUGCCUGAAUAGGGUGAAGCCAGAGGAAACUCUGGUGGAGGCUCGCAGCGGUUCUGACGUGCAAAUCGAUCGUCAAAUUUGGGUAUAGGGGCGAAAGACUAAUCGAACCAUCUGGUAGCUGGUUCCUGCCGAA
rnacentral:rRNA from 1 species